CACUGAGAAGCUAUGAAGCAACAGCCUUUUAAGCUGCAGACAGGUGAACAUCACCCUCAGUGA
rnacentral:tRNA from 1 species